rnacentral:lncRNA from 1 species
UUUAUAAUAUUAUAUAAUUACUAAUUUUCUAUCUUCUAAAUAAAGGAUCGCUACAAGAUCAAUUUGGAGUACACUUAGCCUUGCCACCGAAUGAGCAAGGUGAGCGACUGCCAUUUCAGACGAAGAAGAGAAGAUGAUAUGGUUGGAUACUGUCGGUGGUCCUAAAAAGGGGAUAGCAUACGGCCUUUCAGAUAAAUCGUUUCGGCGCUAUAGGGCUAGAUUGCAAGGUAUAGGGACUUCCCUCCAAGGCAAGGUGAUUGAUAGUUUGGCUAUAUCCGCUAUGGAAGAGAAGAUCGCAAAGCUGACAGCAGAGCUUCAAUAGACCAAGGCUAGUAAAAAGAAUAGAUUUGAUAUCCUUCACGGUCAGCUAGAAAGGAGGGACAAACAAUUUGAUCUCCUUCAAGGUUAGCUGGCCAAUCUUCUUGCUUGUAGUGCUUUCCCCAUUCCUCGGUCUCCUCCUCCUUCCCCACUUGCCAGCGAUGAAAGUCCUACAACCCGAAGAUGGAAAUGAUUGUCCUAUGAUCGAAAAUGGAGAUGAUGCUACAUAAAAAAAACUCAUUGAAUAUUGUGUAUUGUCAAAACAAAGUUGUGAACUUGUUAAUAUUUUGUUGUUGGUUAUUUGAAUGAUGAUUAUAUUGUUAUUUUNNNUUAUUGUGUAUUGUCAAAACAAAGUUGUGAACUUGUUAAUAUUUUGUUGUUGGUUAUUUGAAUGAUGAUUAUAUUGCUAAUUUAUUA